GAUGAACGCUGGCGGCGUGCCUAAUACAUGCAAGUCGAGCGAACAGACGAGGAGCUUGCUCCUCUGACGUUAGCGGCGGACGGGUGAGUAACACGUGGAUAACCUACCUAUAAGACUGGGAUAACUUCGGGAAACCGGAGCUAAUACCGGAUAAUAUAUUGAACCGCAUGGUUCAAUAGUGAAAGACGGUUUUGCUGUCACUUAUAGAUGGAUCCGCGCCGCAUUAGCUAGUUGGUAAGGUAACGGCUUACUAAGGCGACGAUGCGUAGCCGACCUGAGAGGGUGAUCGGCCACACUGGAACUGAGACACGGUCCAGACUCCUACGGGAGGCAGCAGUAGGGAAUCUUCCGCAAUGGGCGAAAGCCUGACGGAGCAACGCCGCGUGAGUGAUGAAGGUCUUCGGAUCGUAAAACUCUGUUAUUAGGGAAGAACAAAUGUGUAAGUAACUAUGCACGUCUUGACGGUACCUAAUCAGAAAGCCACGGCUAACUACGUGC
rnacentral:rRNA from 1 species